GACGGAGGGUGCUAGCGUUGUUCGGAAUCACUGGGCGUAAAGGGCGCGUAAGGCGGCCUCAGGUGUCGGAUGUGAAAGCCCGGGGCUCAACCCCGGAGGUGCAUCCGAAACUCUGGGGCUGGAGGUCGGAAGAGGAGGGUGGAAUACCCAGUGUAGAGUGAAAUCGUAGAUAUUGGGUGGAACACCGGUGGCGAAAGCGGCUCUCUGGUCCGGACCUGACGCUGAGGAGCGAAAGCGUGGGGAGCGAACAGGA
rnacentral:rRNA from 1 species